CUCUCGCUGCGAGAUAAGCGUUCCCACUUCAUCCGACGCGAGAGUCAGUUCAUCCCGGCGCGUGUAAUAACGAUACUUUUUGUUUUCUCGCGGCGCGCUAACCGUGUGAUAAUCCCGCAACCAGCGAUCUUGUGAAGCCAACGCGUGCACCGCCAGAUGAUAGUGCCGGUUAAAGUUAUUCAGCCGCGCUUCUUCGUCGCGACGAAUUCCUAACGCUGCGGCAAGCAGACCCAAUAGCGCAGAGCGCGUGGGAACCGUAGCUGAGUGGCGAAUCUCGCCAGACGCUUCCUCCCCCCACGACGCCAGCGGCGCAUAAAGCUGAAAAACCAGAUAUUCCUUCAUUAUUCAUCCUUACUGGCUAACAAAGGCCAGUAAUUCCGCCAGAGAUCCCGUACCUUCCUGAACGUUCAACUCGCGAUAAUCGUCUGCACAGUUUCCAUA
rnacentral:misc_RNA from 1 species